CCUACGGGGGACAGCAGUCGAGAAUCAUUCACAAUGGGGGAAACCCUGAUGGUGCGACGCCGCGUGGGGGAAUGAAGGUCUUCGGAUUGUAAACCCCUGUCAUGUGGGAGCAAAUGAAAAAGAGAGUACCACAAGAGGAAGAGACGGAUAACUCUGUGCCAGCAGCCGCGGUAAUACAGAGGUCGCAAGCGGUGUUCGGAGCCACUGGGCGUAAAGCGUGCGUAGGCUGUGUCGUAAGUCGUGUGUGAAAGGCGCGGGCUCAACCCGCGGACGGCACAGGAAACUGCGCGACUAGAGUAAUGGAGGGGGAACCGGAAUUCUCGGUGUAGCAGUGAAAUGCGUAGAUAUAGAGAGGAACACUCGUGGCGAAGGCGGGUUCCUGGACAUUAACUGACGCUGAGGCACGAAGGCCAGGGGAGCGAAAGGGAUUAGAUACCCUUGUAGUC
rnacentral:rRNA from 1 species